GACGAACGCUGGCGGCGUGCUUAACACAUGCAAGUCGAACGGAACGGCCCUGCUUUUGUGGGGUGCUCGAGUGGCGAACGGGUGAGUAACCCUUAGGUACCCUCCCCUUGCCUUGGGGUUAUCUUAAGAAAACUGGGUCUAUUCCGGACAAGGAUUUCUUGCUUUUGGUUGGGGUUGGGAAGUUUUGGCCGGUUGGGAAUGGACUCGGGGCUUAUAGGCUGGUUGGGGGGGUAGUGGCUUACCAAGCUCUUGCCGGGUAGCCGGCCUGGGAGGGUGACCGGCCACAUUGGGACUGAGAUACGGCACAGCCUCCUACGGGACGCAGCAGUGGAGAAUAUUGCACAAUGGGAGGAAGCAUGAUGCAGCAACGCCGCGUGCGGGAUGACGGCCUUCGGGUUGUAAACCGCUUUCGCCUGUGACGAAGCGUGAGUGACGGUAAUGGGUAAAGAAGCACCGGCUAACUACGUG
rnacentral:rRNA from 1 species